GUGUUAAAACACCCUUUAUAGUAGUCCGUUCGAACUACGUUCAAAAGCUGAAGACUGGAUUCGAGCCGAGACACCGUGUAUAUUUACGAGAUGUUUAUAUUUCAGCAGGAAAGUCAAGAUGAAAAACGAAUUACAAAAGACAUCAGAGACACAGCUACGCCAUGCAACAGACAGAAGGAAGGAACUGCUGAUCAACCCACAAGCUUCUGGCUGACCUAGACAGGUCCCUGAAAAAGGGCUAUCCAAGAGGCAGUGCCUGGAAGAGCCUAUCCAACAGUGACGGGGGCUCUCCGGCGGAUGAGAGAUGAGGACGCUUCCACCGAGACCUGCAUGGACUCCUGGGAAACCCACAAGAAGGUUCUUUUUUUAUGUGUUAUUUUGAACGGGACACUUAAAUUCCAAACAAUGAAUGGAUUCAUGGUUUCUUGAUGAAUUUGUCCGUGACGCAUUGAUUUUUGUUGACAGCUUUUAUUAAGUAACCGUUCUGUUUACAGUAAUUAAGGAAUUCCAAAUUAUAAUAAUCAUUACCCCUCUCCUUAAUACAUAAAAUACAAAAUAUAAAAAAUAGCAUAAUACAAAAAAAGAACUUUAGCAGAGAGCUUCAUUUUAAUGACUGAAAUUGAAAAUUGUCAGGAAGUAAUACCUUAAGGUAGUUACAUAAUUAACUUUGUGAGAGAUAAUGUGGAAUUUCCAUUUGAGUAAAAGAGGUGUUUUUUCCAGUUUUGUCCAAUUUAAAUACUAAAUAAUACACCAGUAUUUUUGUUUUCUAAUUCCAUUUACCAACCAUAUAUGCUGACAGGAAGUCAGCAGGUUUUUGAUAAAGAGACAGUGGUCCGUUGCAAAAUAUCCUAUUGGAUCAGCAUUAUUUAAACCAUAGGUUCUCCAUAAUACAGUGUAAUCAUUUUCGGUGUGGUUGGAAAGCUGAUGUCAUGGGGUACAAGUUGGUGUCUUUUGUGCAGUAUAGUGGGUGCAGACUAAAGAUGUUGAUACAUAUGGAUCAGCGCCCAGCUGCUCUACAAAAUUUAACCCGGUGUGAUAUGCUUACAGAUAGCACAAGCAGGACCAUUAAUGUACUGUUUCGUUAUGUAUUGUAUCUUUAUUUGAUGACUUGGGGUUUUUCUUUGAUCCGUGAGUAUAUAAGGGGAAAAGUGGAAUGGUUCUGGGAGACUUGUCAAUACUGCGUAGUGCAUACCAUUCGCUUACAGCCAUUCCACUACACACUCUGCACCAUUGUAUGUUGCCAUCAUUGAACAUACUGUACAAUAAAUUGCAUUCACUUUAA